rnacentral:rRNA from 1 species
ACAGGCCAUACCACCUUGAAAAUAUCCAAUUUCAUCUGAUCUCAGAAGCUAAGCAGGGUUGGGCCUUGUUAGUACUCCUGGGAAUACCAGGUGAUGCCUCUU